GACCAGCGUUCACUCCGCCAGUCCUCGUCUCUUCGACUGGCAGCCGGGAGCCUUUCACUCGCGUUUUCUCACGCUGUUGCGCCAAACUCGGCCUCGUAAUCCGUUUUCUAAUGUAACGUACCUAUGGGGUUCAUAUUUUACGAUUAGCUACGUGAGAAAUUACCCUGGAGAUAUAUGAAUGCCUUGAGAACAGCCCUCAUAACCUUAAAAGUUCCUAGAAAAUCAUGUAAGGGCGGGUGCUGCCAUGGUGGGAGCAACUUUGACACCAUCAAAAGUCCCUAGAUCGGUCAAGGUCGUGUUGUCGCAUUUGUACCGGAUUGUUCGCAUGCCGGACAAAUUAAUGGGAGUGGCUACAAGAAGGAAUCUUACAAUAACCCGUGUCAAGAAAAACUUCGAGAAAAAAUAUAAAAUAAUGGAUUCCUCAGGAUCUUUCAUAUAUUGCGCGCAGGUUGCAGACCUAAGGGGAAUGGUGAAUGGUCGAAUUCUUGGCUUUUUCUCUCACUUCGCCAAGGUGACCCUGGUCCAUUAUAACGGCAGGACAAUGUCCACGGAAUUCAGCACUGACAGUAUAAAGCCUUAUAGAUAUGUACUCUUCCCAAAAUUUCCCAAAAUUGGAGAAUCUUCGUACGACGAUGAUCUACGCAGCUUGUCAUAGAAUACGCCUGGUGCCAAGAUUUAUAAGAAUUUCAUCGACCACUCAAAGAAUCGUUAAUGCUAAUAUUCAAGAAUAUAUUAAUGGAAUACCGGUCAUCGGCCGAAUCUAGUGAUUCUUGACCAAUCGUGACAAGAUCAUGGCCAGUCUCAUGACCGCAGCACUCACGAGUAGCCAAACAGUCUCCGUUUGGAGUACAGUGGCUUCCUGGAAGAUUACUUAAAAGCCCUGAGGCCAUAGUUAAGAAAAUAACUCAUCUUCACACUACGUAUAAACACUACCGGUGUGCCCUUGUAACAAUAAUUAAUUAAUUACAUAUGGAUUUUAUGGAAGCUCACAUACCCACGUAUUCAAGUAAAAGAUACAUCAGUGGAUGUAUACGAUAAAAUGACAAGAUGCAAAAUUGUGCCGACCUUGAAUAUAAAAUGUGUCCUUGGAUCAACAAAGGAAUUCGCAUGCGUUUCGGGUGCGUUUUGCUUGCGUUUUGUCGUUCGGUACUGAAGAUGAAUUUUUCAUCGUGAAAUCCAACACAAGAGCGAUUAUAUGGGAUUAAUUUUCUUUUAGGAACUACCAUGGACUCGAACGGAGUUAAGCGAGUAUACAAGACCCAUGAAAUCCCGGAUCCUUUAUGAAGAUAAAUAAAAAUAGAGAUUGAAGGAAAUAGAAGAGAGGGCGAAGUGUACGAGAGGCAAAGGGAAAAUAAAAGAAGUGGGAUAAUCGAGUUACGAGGAAGGAGUCGGCGAGACCCACGUAGGUUUUGCCGGAUAGUGAAAGCGACUAUCAAUUCUCAGUCUCUUGGAAGCCCUCCGGCCACAAAAUAAGAUUCCUUUGACCCUCCUAUAAACUCACUGCUCGUCAUAUAACGUAUCUUUAUUAUAGGUGUCAGAGUUUCGUCGAAAAUGAGAUGAACUCUUAGUUUCUAAUUCACAGCAGAUACCAGAAAAAAGUCAACACACGAUAUAAAGGAGGAGUCGUGCCUUGAAGAAGGAGAAAUUUUAUUCAGUAACAAUAAAGAGAAUCAAUAAGAAAGAAAGAACUUAACAACGGAAGACAGUACGUGACACUAUUGAUAAAAAAUAAGUGAAUAACAAACUGGCAGAGACGCAUUCUGAGGACAAGAUUAAGAAAAGAAAAAAAAGAGAAGGAAUAAUAAAAAUUCAUGUUUUGGAUGAAUGAUGAAAUUUUCAGCGCCUGCCAAUUAAUUGCUGAUCAGCCACUGAUUACUCGGUUGUGAUUUUGCAAUAGUCCAUUUCUCGCCACUUCUCAAAUGCAGCCAAGUCAAUCGUGCACGUAAUCAUUGUCCGAAUGUUCAUCUCAUUCAGUUCUGUGUUCAUAAAACCGAUCAAAUGCUUCAGACACUCUGAACUGCAACUUCAUCAUGAAAACUUAAUGCAAUGCGAGUCGUGGCCCAAUUAUAGCGAUAGAACGGUAUUCGCACACUCCAAUGUAUAUAAGUAUGCAUUCUACAUAUGUAAAAAUGCAUAUAUGGUGUGUAUACCUAUCUGUAGAUGUACAGGAACGCAAAGACAUGUUCUGUAGGUAUUCACCUGAAGCUUGCACGUGUAUUCAUAUCAGGAACGGAGUCUCUCUGAUAUAUAGAUAUAUACUUACCAUAUUGGUAUUCAUGCCAAUCCGGAUUUUACUGUAUAUCGCCUGUACCAAAACGCUGCCCAACAACGCCACUACUUGUACUGCCUAUGCUACUGAUGUACUUUCACUUGGUUUUCGUUGCGCAUAUUCUACUCAAGGAAGAUCUUUGUUCGAGCAUUGGAAUUUCUUGAAGGACCUUGUCGAGGUCCCAGGCAAGGAUUCUUAGGGCCUUGUAGAGGGCUUCACGGUGGGGAAUCCCCCAAUUGUUGCAUACGGUAUAUAUUGUCAUUGUCCCUCCUACGCAUGUGAAUUCUUUUAAUAUGACAAUUCAUCAUGUUUGAUGUACAUCAGAAAGUAAGAGAGGGAAAAAGGAAAAAUGACCGUGUAUCAGAUUUCAUGUUAUUUUUGUUCUCAAGGCGCAGUCCAUGCUGUAUUGCUUUUAAAAGCGAUAAUAGUACUGGCAAGAAUUACUACUGUACACUCCAUUUCAUGAGGUCAUAAUAUAGUUAUCAAAUAGAUAACCAUCAUGCAAAGGAUAUUCAUAAUAUCUAAGAGCAUAAUGUACUGUUAGUAAAAAUUCUUAUUAGUUAAAUAGAGAUUCCUGACUGUUAAAUUUCAUAAAGCAAGUCACGACUCAGUGACUAGACAAAUGACUUGACUAAGUUUUGUAUGUUGCAGUAUCAGUCGAAAAAUCCGUCAGUUGUCACUCACUUGUCGCGAUGAUCUGAGUCUGAAUAAUAAUGACUGUGUCAUUGGACAAUUGUAGGAUUCGCUACAGGUUGAAAAAUUAUUCAUCCCGAUACGACUCAAUAGGCACGUUGAAUGUUCUAAGAAAAUUGUACAAGUACCCAACGGUCAAUGACACUCUAAAUAGGGACAAUGAAGUAAACGUUAACAUUAUGGUAAUAGAUUGACAAAAAAUCAUUAAGCCAAAUAAAAGCAAAGUGACGCUUUUGAUUGUCACUCCGAAAAAGAUGGAAUUCUUGAAUGAUGAUAACAAUAAGAAAAACAUUAUGGGACGUUGUGUAAAUAAAAAAUGGCCUACAAAAAGCAGGAGGAGAAUGUUCCUUUAUUAUUCAAUGGUAAUUCUCUGGGUUAUAAGAAGCCCUCGUGUUCGUCGGCUAAAUAUUAUUGCUUACUGAAACUAAAGCAUCAGUUUUUGUUGUUGUAGCUUUAAUUCUCUAAUGUCUCUGUAGUCCGUCAUAUGUAAUAAUGCUGUCUGUUACCAAGGAAAAUUUUCUUCAGCUGACUUGUAUUUUUUCUAUCAACAUUUGUUUUUCAAAGUCAAACUGGGGAAUCCUAAUUCUCCGUAUUUGUCACUGACUACUGGUAAGAAGAUCUUGAUUUCUUUUCACCAAGUGACAAUAUGAUCAUUGUCAAAAAUAUUUCGCAAUCCCAACUUCUCAGCUCGUUACAAUAUAAUAAUAAGUUCUGGAAACUGGAGCGCAAUUAUAUUUCAUAUUCGUCCCAUGGUGCUCUUGCAAUACAAGUAUUUGUUUGCCAGUAUAUACAUAUUUCAUUUUUCACAGUGACAAGAUUUUGGAUGUUGUCAUCAGGCUUAAGGAUUUUAUUGCUGCAAGUAACAGUACAGUGUCACCAUAUUUUUCACAUUUAGCAUUGACAGUUUCCGCAGGUUGUCCUUCGCACGUGAAAAAUUCUUCAGUGAGAAUAAGUAUUACAAGCAAUCAUAAUUGGGAUACAAGCCAUAUUGACUAGCAAAUGCUCACUGGUACAGUAUACAGGAUUAGUGUGAACGAACCUUAAGUGCCAAACCAACGUCUGCAGUAGCCAAAGCCAAGAUUCUUUUUACCAACUGGUAAUUUCUAUCGAAAGAGAAUUCGUCAGACGUGUCCACGACCGCAAAUUCGUUCCUCAAACUGUACAAUCUCUCAAAUUGUAUUAUCCAAUGUGACCACGCAAUCUGGCCAAGAUUGCCGGUGAACAUUUAAUUUUUAUCUUGGAUAACGGUGGAGAACCACAAACGAGAAUUGCAAGUUUCUGAGUAAAGGGCAUCUUUCGAUAUUCUUUGGUGGGAUUAUAGAUAAGCUCAUUAUUUCUAUGAUCUGAGAAAGUGAUUGACGAUUUAAAGUUAUCGCUUUAUACGCAUUUCGUUCCAUAAAUAUUCAUUCGUUUCUCGUGAACUUUCUCGGGCGAGAUUCUUGCCGACACUUCCGGCAACAUAAUAUUCAGUCGUCCGCGUUAUGCGAAUUGGCAAAUGAAAAAUUUCUAAAAACCGAACGAAGAAAUUACACCAGGCGACAUAUAUCACUACGACAAUCUUAUCAAAUCAUUUAAAUGUUACCUAGUAUGUUACGCGUGCAUAUAAAAUUCAAAAUUCCACUUUUAAUAAGACAGUGACAUAUUAUUAGAAAUCCUAUUAUCAGCUAUUGCUGAUCAAUAAUGGGAAUUAUUUUCUGAAAAAAAAUUGUAGCACAUCCGCACUGUACUGUAAAGUAUGUACAAUUGUUUAAAGUCACAAACAACUAAAUAAAAAAAUUAUCCGUUAUUUGUUUAGCAACCGUGACGAUCGACCUGCUCCCAAUUAAUUCAUUGAUCCAAUAUAAUCUUGAUCAAUGACAAAACCGAAUUGCCUCAACAUCCUCAUGUAAAAAUAUCGUUAAAAUAAUUAUAGUUGUUUCCAUACACGUCAUACGAGUAGAAUAAUAAACUUUGAUAUCAGUAUUAUCAUUUGACAUCUCAAAAGAAUGACAGAGCACCCCUUACCAUAAAACGCAAACUAUAAACUACGGAGAAAAUUAAAAAAAAUAGUAA